CGCUGCCGUUGCAGUAAUUCA
rnacentral:snRNA from 1 species